UGCCAGAGGAAAGAAAUCUGAUGAAUACCUAACAUCACCAAGGGUAGGAAUUGCCAGAGGAAAGAAAUAUGAUGAACAUCACCAAGAGUUGGAGUCGCUAGAGGCUAGAAGGCUAGAAAAUAGCCCAGAAAAAACUGUGUGAACUUCUUCAAAAGCGCGAUUGGAGUAUUGUUUUAGCUUCAAUGAAAAAAAUGUCAUCUA